GAGGGAGGGAUGCCAACACAUGGCUAACACCAGUCUGCGAUAUAGUCAAAGUCUGCAAACAGGUCCUGCUGGUGCUGGGUCAAGGGCCGGGGUUCUCUGGGGGGGGUGAGCACCGGAGCCUCUGAGGCCAGACUGAACAAUGAUGCUAUUCCUGUCAUUUCGGUAGUCAAAUGAGGUCAAAGUGCCCUGCAGAAGAAGAAAAAAAGCCUUUCAGCUGCCGCUGUUUAUACAAGAUGACACUGGAUAACGGUUAUCUUUAUGUUAAUAAAGGAAACAGAAGACAUCAAUGCAGAUGCCUGGGCAGCUUAUCUCUACGUUGUAGCGUGCCCACACAUCAUAGCGUGCGAUGUUACCCGUUUUUGCUCUUUGUUGGGGAUCUUGUCCUCAGGCAGGACUUCUGAGAAAAGCUUUGGUGUGGCAUCUUUGUCAAAGUCCAGUUUUGUCACUAUUGGGUCACUAGAGAGGGUAGACAAACACAAACAGACACGUAAAAGCACUGCCUUGAUGAAAAAAAAAAAAGACUAGUUUAACAAAGUACUUGUGUUGAUUGUAUUGUAUGUUCAUACUGUACCUCCUCA